CGGCAAGAAUCGGAGAUGAGGUGGGGAGAAGGUGCAAAGGGCAGAGUAGCGGGAGAACACGAUUUGAUGGUAGAGUUUGCAGCCAACUUGCAGCUUCCUCCUGCUCGACCCAUUGCAGAAAGAGAAGGGGAGAAUCCCAGCCAGUCAUGGCUCACGGUCAAUUGACCAAUCAGAAAAAGCAUUACAAGUGUGCUACUGCCAAGAGUCGAAAACGAGUGACGUCCCCUCCCCCCUCUCUCUCGGCAAAACAACUGCUGCGGCUGUAAGGAGCCCGGAAAUUGCCUUGUCAGGAAAACUCUGGUUUCUGCAAAGUGUGCUGCUAGCUGAUUGUCCAGUGCUAGCUAAGGUCAUAUUUCACUUCUGGGCAAGUCUGCUCAAAAUGCAAAGCGAGAAACUGGAACCAGUAAAUUACUAUGUUGGAAUUGAUGUUGGCACAGCAAGCGUCCGUGCGGCUUUGGUAGACCAGUUUGGGACGGUAGUGGCUUAUGAAGACCAUCCAGUUAAAAUUUGGGCACCACAACCAGACCACUAUGAGCAAUCUUCUGAUGACAUCUGGGCCGCUUGUUGUACAGUCACAAAGAAAGUUACUCAAGGGAUAAAUAUUGCUCAGAUAAGAGGACUUGGUUUUGAUGCUACCUGCUCUCUUGUAGUUUUGGAUAGCCAUUUCCAGCCAUUGGCAGUCAACUCUGAAGGAAAGUGUAACAGAAACGUCAUCAUGUGGAUGGACCAUCGUGCAGCUAAACAAGUAGCACGCAUCAAUGAGACACAACAUAGUGUCUUGUGCUUUGUUGGUGGCUCAAUGUCUGUUGAGAUGCAGCCGCCUAAGUUGCUGUGGUUAAAAGAAAAUCUGCAAGCGUCUUGCUGGGAAAAGGCAGGCUAUUUCUUUGAUCUUCCGGAUUUCUUAUCGUGGAAAGCAACAGGUGUCACUGCAAGAUCUUUGUGUACAUUGGUGUGUAAGUGGACAUACUCUUCAGAGAAAGGCUGGGAUGACAGUUUCUGGAAACUGAUUGGAUUAGAAGAUCUAAUUGCAGAUAAAUAUGCAAAAAUUGGAAAUGAAGUUCUGGCUCCGGGAGCUCCAGUUGGAAAUGGGCUAACUUCAGAGGCUGCGAAAGACCUUGGCCUUUCUAAGGGGAUUGCGGUAGCGGCAUCUCUCAUUGAUGCACAUGCUGGAGGAAUAGGCAUGAUUGGAACCAAUGUGAAAGGAUAUAACUUGCCCUGUGAAAACCAGUCAAUUGCAUCCCGAAUUGCUGUGAUAUGUGGAACAUCUUCAUGCCACAUGGGGAUAAGUGAGUCUCCUGUAUUUGUCCCUGGUGUUUGGGGACCCUAUUACUCAGCAAUGGUGCCAGAGUUCUGGCUAAAUGAGGGAGGCCAGAGUGUUACUGGAAAACUGAUAGAUCAUGUCGUCCGAGGACACACUGCUUUCCCAGAACUACAAACAAAAGCUGCAGCCAGUGCUCAAAGUAUAUAUACAUACUUGAACGGUCACCUGGAUCUGAUUAAGAAAUCUUUGCCUGUGGGUUUCCUCACUGUUGAUUUACAUGUUUGGCCAGAUUUCCAUGGCAACAGAUCUCCCCUAGCAGAUCUGACUCUAAAGGGCAUGGUUGUUGGACUGACGUUGUCUCAAGGCCUUGAUGAUCUUGCUCUCAUCUACUUGGCCACAAUUCAGGCCAUUGCAUUAGGAACAAGGCAUAUUGUGGAAACUAUGCAAGCUGCAGGGCAUCAUGUGAACACCAUGUUCAUGUGUGGUGGGCUGAGCAAGAACCCUCUCUUUGUGCAGAUGCAUGCAGACAUCACUGGCAUGCCUGUUGUCCUGGCCCAAGAGGUGGAGUCUGUUCUAAUGGGUGCUGCUAUUCUUGGAGCUUGCGCUUCUAAAGAUUUUGUUUCUCUGCAGCGAUAUGACCUCCAUUAUAACAUGAAAAGAACAUGUCUCCUCCUUGCCUCAAAUCUGCAAGCAAAGGAAGAAAGCAGGUAGACAGCAUCUGAUUCUCUGAAGCUCCUCUGAAGCAGAUUUCAAAAUAAGGUUGUUGCUAAAGGCCAUCUUUCCUCCCACCUUCGGAAACCAAGUAUGAAGGAUGCGAUGGAGAAAAUGGGGCGAGUUGGUAGAGUUGUGCUGCCAAACCACAAGGAUAAAAGCACCCUAUAACUUCAGAUCCACCUUUGAAGAUGCAGAUAAAGCAGAGGCUGAACUGAAUUCAAAUGUUGUCAGCCUCCAGGGCUUGAGAAUGUAGCAGGCCCUAACGCACUCUUUGGUAUGGCAAGCCUGCAGUUCAGAAGCCUGGAUUGCAGGAGAGAAGGACCAGAGUUAUUCAUAGUGCAGCUAAUGACUGAAAUCCUGAAACUGCUUGAAGAGCUUGAGCAGUUAGAGGCAGGAGAUGACAAGGCAGCCAGCUGACAAAGGGAGUAAAGAUUUUAUGACAAGAAAUACCAGGUGUUUCUGAAGCUUAUGGAACAUCAGCAGGAGUAUAAAGCCAUCAUGCAGACUGUGUAGAAAAUAUAAAGAAUUGUUCAUAACGUUGAAGGGGGUUGUACUGUCAUUUUUUCCCACCCAUUUUUUCACCCAAGCUUAUUAACUGGACUGUGGUUUUAUAGUCUUCAUUUUUAAUCUGUUUGCUGUCGUAAGCUGCCCAGAGACAGAAGUUUGGGGUGGUCUACAAAUUUGAAAAAUAAAUUUAUCGACAAUUUUAUUUGCCUGAGGCUGCAGUCCUAUACAUAUUUACUUGGGAGUAAGACCUGAACACAAAAUAUUUCAGUGAUAAUCUACACUGUAAAGAAAGGUGAGUCCUUUAUAGCCGAUGGAGCAGAUUCUUGAAGCCAUUGUCAAUCAUGAACCAGUAAGGGUCUUUUGAUUUCAGUGAAAGCAAAACUUAUAAGAUGACACUACCAGGACCAAGAAUUAGGUAUGCACAACAUGUCAUUUUAUGUACUACAAUUGAUGCAGGAUAGGGAAGAACAGUUAGCAGUUCUACAGCAUAUCCUCCCAUGCCAACCAUCCACUUUCCAUCUCAAGGCUGAGAUCAACUUCCUACUCUAAACUCCUGUGGUGUGUAUGUGUAACCUACAUCACUCAAAAAAAGGACAAAAGCCUGGAUCACUUAAUUGCAUCUCUUCUAAAUGCUGCUGUUUGGGCCAUUUUCAAAAUUCUUGUUCUGUAAUCCCACCCUGGAGUGGAUUGAGGCUGGAUGAAAUUUAGCUGGCUUAGUCUUAUUAACCCCAGUCAUCAAGCAAUCCACGAGCAAAGGAGAGCCCGAAAAUAUUGCUAAUAGGUGAUCAGCAUAUCCUACCCAAAGCAACUGUACUUUGCACCACUGCAAACAUUGUCCUCUUGAUCUUGCCUAAAAUACCCUGAAACACAAAGAGAGCUUCAUUUGAAAGGUGCAACUUGGUGUAUAUAUAGAUUUUUAAAAGAAAAAGAAACACCACAAUCUCCAGAACAUUGUGAACAAUAAAUAUUUAUGCACAUUCAUUCUUAGAUAUACAAGAUAUAAAUUCACAUUCCAUAACACACAAUUCACAGCACAAAUCCAGGUUACAUUUAAAAUGUGUUAGUAUUCUUUUAUUACCAGCAUUUUUUAUUUACUGUCAAGUCUCAGGCUACUUACUAAUAAUACUGGCUGACAUCCGGACUAACAAAGCACACACAUCAGGAGGGGUUGUGGGGAAUGUGUUGGGAGCCCGCACACCCAAUUGCCCUCAUCCCCCUCUGUGUGUGCUGCUGCACAAGAGCCAUUAGAGUUCACUGCCUGUGCUCCAGAAGCAUUCUGUAAGACAGGAAACAUGUCACUGACCCUCACAUACUUUGUUGGGAUGUCAACCUAUGUGCUUAUAUUUGUUUGGCCUUGCACUCAACUUAAGUAUGUAUAUAAAACUGCCUACAGUAUAAAAUCUCCUUGGGUACAAAGAAACAAGUAAAAAUAUAACUGUGAGGCUCCGCAUACAGAAGUGAUUUUAAAAUCUCUGCAGGAUCUUUGUAUAUCUAGAAGAAUCAGAUAUGUUCUUAACUGCCAUGUCUUAUUCUUAAUUUCUUCUAUUUCAUUAUUAGUUUUUUCCACUUGUGAAUUUUAGUUUUAGUUUGAUUCUAGAUAAUUACUGUGAUGGUUACAAUUAUUACAACAUUGUUACAAUGUAUCCAAAAUGCCAUCACUAUACAUGUAUCUGCACAAAUGUGAAAUCCAAAGAAUUUUCUCUGUUCAGUAAGCGGUUUAAUUCACCCGUGUCCUAGGAGACGGUUUUCAUCCUUCUGUGUAUAAAAGACAUAAAAGUAAUUUUGAAGGUGCUACAAUUAUAAAAGUUUGAACAUUUUCAAGUUUAAAUGUACUGAAUGUUUUUUCAUCACAUCUGAACUGUUGAGCUAUGAAAUAGAGAUGGUCUUAUCCCACAAUUCAGUGCAAGUACACAAAAGACAAGCAGCAACUUUCAGCACUGUAUCUCUAAGAUUCCUGGAUGUCAUUGAGUUUUAGUCCAUGAUGAACAUUAAUGCCUCCCCACUCAACAUAUUCUUUCGUGUUCUUCUUCAAACACCAGUGCAUCAACCCUUGUACAUCCUUCAAAGCAAAAUCUAUUUUGUGUUGCUUUCCAAGAUUAAGGAGAGCUCAUCAUAGUCUCCGCUAAGGUUUUCCCUUAAGAAGUACCAGAGUCAUCUCAUCAUGAAUCCAACAGAAUAUUUUGUGUUGUAGCAUUUGUCAUAUUUGCCCUUUCCAAUUCCAUCCGUGAGCCAAUGUUUAUCAUACAUGUUAAAAGGAGGAAUACAACAACUAGGUCAUCAACCACCCCCAAGAUUCCACAAAGACGUUCAGGCAUCACAUCAAGUGAAGAAGUUAAGCACAUGAUGGUUCCAAAAGAGCAGAUGACAACUCUGAGGAAGAAGAUCCACACAAGGCCACCCAAGGUGAAGAUUCCUCUUAUGGCAAGGUUGAGAAGCAGGGGCACGUCAUAAAGAUAAUCUGAAAACUAGACAUAGAAUUUUGGUGGGUUAUGAAAUUAUCCCAUUUUGAUUGCAAAUUCAUAUCGCUGGUUUUGCUUUGUUAGGCAGAGGGAAGGGGUUUCUGGAUUCUUGAAAAAUUGGCCUUUUAUUGGCUGGCAGCUGGCCCAGAUCUUGUAAAACUGUAUAAACCAGAAACAAGCCACCACUGGGAGCCCUAUUCCUCCUCUUCCUUAUCUUCCCAGUUGCUUCUUAGUCUAUUAAUUAUUAUUACAUAUUUAUCCUGCCCUUCUUUCGAGGAACAAAGGGAAGUAUAAAUGCCACCCUCCCCGUUUAUCUUCACAACCCUCUUAAGAUAGGUUAGGCUGAGAGAAAGUGACUGGCCCACGGUCACCCAGUAAAUUUCAAGAGUAAGUGGGAAUUUGAACCUUGGUCUCCCAAGUCCUAAUCUGACACAGUAACCACUACAUUACACUGGCCUUCAUAUGUACCCCUUCCCAAGAGGGAACUCCUAGAACUUACUACCCCAUUAAAAAAAUACACGAUAGCUGCCUUUGUGACCAUUAAUAGGGUAGGAGAACAUUCCUACCCUAGUUCGGAGCUGUGCUCAUUAAGACCUGGGUGCAGCUGCUGGGUAGGAGGGACCUACAACCACAGCUGGCACCUCCUACCUUGUUUUUAAUUCACACACAAGCAAUGUGCACAGUUUGCGAACUAGGUACGAAGCUUCUCCUACUCUGCUAACGUGGCAAAGAGGCACCUUUUAACGUGGUGAUCCUCUUUAUUUAGCAGGGGGAGAGUGACUGGCCUUAUCCACCCCCAGCACAGUACCUCCAGUGACUGUUGCUGGUGUCUAUCUUAUGUUUCUUUUUAGAUUGUGAGCCCUUUGGGGACAGGGAUCCAUCUUAUUUAUUUAUCAUUUAUCUGUGUAAACUGCUCUGAGUCAUUUUUGGAAGGGUGGUAUAGAAACUGAAUAAAUAAAUAAAUAAUAAUAAAAUAAUAUUCAUAAUGGUA